UGCACUGAAAUUGCUUCAUGGUCCUUC
rnacentral:piRNA from 1 species